rnacentral:rRNA from 5 species
GUUAUAUGGUCAAGUGAAGAAGCGCAUACGGUGGAUGCCUUGGCAGUCAGAGGCGAUGAAAGACGUGGUAGCCUGCGAAAAGCUUCGGGGAGUCGGCAAACAGACUUUGAUCCGGAGAUGUCUGAAUGGGGGAACCCAGCCAUCAUAAGAUGGUUAUCUUACGCUGAAUACAUAGGCGUAAGAGGCGAACCAGGGGAACUGAAACAUCUAAGUACCCUGAGGAAAAGAAAUCAACCGAGAUUCCCUUAGUAGUGGCGAGCGAACGGGGACUAGCCCUUAAGUGGCUUUGAGAUUAGCGGAACGCUCUGGAAAGUGCGGCCAUAGUGGGUGAUAGCCCUGUACGCGAAAAUCUCUUAGUCAUGAAAUCGAGUAGGACGGAGCACGAGAAACUUUGUCUGAAUAUGGGGGGACCAUCCUCCAAGGCUAAAUACUACUGACUGACCGAUAGUGAACUAGUACCGUGAGGGAAAGGCGAAAAGAACCCCGGAGAGGGGAGUGAAAUAGAUCCUGAAACCGUAUGCGUACAAGCAGUGGGAGCAGACUUUGUUCUGUGACUGCGUACCUUUUGUAUAAUGGGUCAGCGACUUAUUUUCAGUGGCGAGCUUAACCGAAUAGGGGAGGCGUAGCGAAAGCGAGUCUUAAUAGGGCGUCUAGUCGCUGGGAAUAGACCCGAAACCGGGCGAUCUAUCCAUGGGCAGGUUGAAGGUUGGGUAACACUAACUGGAGGACCGAACCGACUACCGUUGAAAAGUUAGCGGAUGACCUGUGGAUCGGAGUGAAAGGCUAAUCAAGCUCGGAGAUAGCUGGUUCUCCUCGAAAGCUAUUUAGGUAGCGCCUCAUGUAUCACUGUAGGGGGUAGAGCACUGUUUCGGCUAGGGGGUCAUCCCGACUUACCAAACCGAUGCAAACUCCGAAUACCUACAAGUGCCGAGCAUGGGAGACACACGGCGGGUGCUAACGUCCGUCGUGAAAAGGGAAACAACCCAGACCGUCAGCUAAGGUCCCAAAGUUAUGGUUAAGUGGGAAACGAUGUGGGAAGGCUUAGACAGCUAGGAGGUUGGCUUAGAAGCAGCCACCCUUUAAAGAAAGCGUAAUAGCUCACUAGUCGAGUCGGCCUGCGCGGAAGAUGUAACGGGGCUCAAACCAUACACCGAAGCUACGGGUAUCACGUAAGUGAUGCGGUAGAGGAGCGUUCUGUAAGCCUGUGAAGGUGAGUUGAGAAGCUUGCUGGAGGUAUCAGAAGUGCGAAUGCUGACAUGAGUAACGACAAUGGGUGUGAAAAACACCCACGCCGAAAGACCAAGGUUUCCUGCGCAACGUUAAUCGACGCAGGGUUAGUCGGUCCCUAAGGCGAGGCUGAAAAGCGUAGUCGAUGGAAAACAGGUUAAUAUUCCUGUACUUCUGGUUAUUGCGAUGGAGGGACGGAGAAGGCUAGGCCAGCUUGGCGUUGGUUGUCCAAGUUUAAGGUGGUAGGCUGAGAUCUUAGGUAAAUCCGGGAUCUUAAGGCCGAGAGCUGAUGACGAGCUAACUUUUAGUUAGCGAAGUGGUUGAUGCCAUGCUUCCAAGAAAAGCUUCUAAGCUUCAGGUAACCAGGAACCGUACCCCAAACCGACACAGGUGGUUGGGUAGAGAAUACCAAGGCGCUUGAGAGAACUCGGGUGAAGGAACUAGGCAAAAUGGCACCGUAACUUCGGGAGAAGGUGCGCCGGUGAGGGUGAAGGACUUGCUCCGUAAGCUCAUGCCGGUCGAAGAUACCAGGCCGCUGCGACUGUUUAUUAAAAACACAGCACUCUGCAAACACGAAAGUGGACGUAUAGGGUGUGACGCCUGCCCGGUGCCGGAAGGUUAAUUGAUGGGGUUAGCUAACGCGAAGCUCUUGAUCGAAGCCCCGGUAAACGGCGGCCGUAACUAUAACGGUCCUAAGGUAGCGAAAUUCCUUGUCGGGUAAGUUCCGACCUGCACGAAUGGCGUAACGAUGGCGGCGCUGUCUCCACCCGAGACUCAGUGAAAUUGAAAUCGCUGUGAAGAUGCAGUGUAUCCGCGGCUAGACGGAAAGACCCCGUGAACCUUUACUAUAGCUUUGCACUGGACUUUGAAUUUGCUUGUGUAGGAUAGGUGGGAGGCUUUGAAGCGUGGACGCCAGUCUGCGUGGAGCCAACCUUGAAAUACCACCCUGGCAACUUUGAGGUUCUAACUCAGGUCCGUUAUCCGGAUCGAGGACAGUGUAUGGUGGGUAGUUUGACUGGGGCGGUCUCCUCCUAAAGAGUAACGGAGGAGUACGAAGGUGCGCUCAGACCGGUCGGAAAUCGGUCGUAGAGUAUAAAGGCAAAAGCGCGCUUGACUGCGAGACAGACACGUCGAGCAGGUACGAAAGUAGGUCUUAGUGAUCCGGUGGUUCUGUAUGGAAGGGCCAUCGCUCAACGGAUAAAAGGUACUCCGGGGAUAACAGGCUGAUACCGCCCAAGAGUUCAUAUCGACGGCGGUGUUUGGCACCUCGAUGUCGGCUCAUCACAUCCUGGGGCUGAAGCCGGUCCCAAGGGUAUGGCUGUUCGCCAUUUAAAGUGGUACGCGAGCUGGGUUUAGAACGUCGUGAGACAGUUCGGUCCCUAUCUGCCGUGGACGUUUGAGAUUUGAGAGGGGCUGCUCCUAGUACGAGAGGACCGGAGUGGACGAACCUCUGGUGUUCCGGUUGUCACGCCAGUGGCAUUGCCGGGUAGCUAUGUUCGGAAUAGAUAACCGCUGAAAGCAUCUAAGCGGGAAACUAGCCUCAAGAUGAGAUCUCACUGGGACCUUGAGUCCCCUGAAGGGCCGUCGAAGACUACGACGUUGAUAGGUUGGGUGUGUAAGCGCUGUGAGGCGUUGAGCUAACCAAUACUAAUUGCCCGUGAGGCUUGACCAUAUAACACCCAAGCAAUU